GAUGAACGCUGGCGGCGUGCCUAAUACAUGCAAGUCGAGCGAACGGACGAGAAGCUUGCUUCUCUGAUGUUAGCGGCGGACGGGUGAGUAACACGUGGAUAACCUACCUAUAAGACUGGGAUAACUUCGGGAAACCGGAGCUAAUACCGGAUAAUAUUUUGAACCGCAUGGUUCAAAAGUGAAAGACGGUCUUGCUGUCACUUAUAGAUGGAUCCGCGCUGCAUUAGCUAGUUGGUAAGGUAACGGCUUACCAAGGCAACGAUGCAUAGCCGACCUGAGAGGGUGAUCGGCCACACUGGAACUGAGACACGGUCCAGACUCCUACGGGAGGCAGCAGUAGGGAAUCUUCCGCAAUGGGCGAAAGCCUGACGGAGCAACGCCGCGUGAGUGAUGAAGGUCUUCGGAUCGUAAAACUCUGUUAUUAGGGAAGAACAUAUGUGUAAGUAACUGUGCACAUCUUGACAGUACCUAAUCAGAAAGCCACGGCUAACUACGUGCCAGCAGCCGCGGUAAUACGUAGGUGGCAAGCGUUAUCCGGAAUUAUUGGGCGUAAAGCGCGCGUAGCGGUUUUUUAGUCUGAUGUGAAAGCCCACGGCUCAACCGUGGAGGGUCAUUGGAAACUGGAAAACUUGAGUGCAGAAGAGGAAAGUGGAAUUCCAUGUGUAGCGGUGAAAUGCGCAGAGAUAUGGAGGAACACCAGUGGCGAAGGCGACUUUCUGGUCUGUAACUGACGCUGAUGUGCGAAAGCGUGGGGAUCAAACAGGAUUAGAUACCCUGGUAGUCCACGCCGUAAACGAUGAGUGCUAAGUGUUAGGGGGUUUCCGCCCCUUAGUGCUGCAGCUAACGCAUUAAGCACUCCGCCUGGGGAGUACGACCGCAAGGUUGAAACUCAAAGGAAUUGACGGGGACCCGCACAAGCGGUGGAGCAUGUGGUUUAAUUCGAAGCAACGCGAAGAACCUUACCAAAUCUUGACAUCCUUUGACAACUCUAGAGAUAGAGCUUUCCCCUUCGGGGGACAAAGUGACAGGUGGUGCAUGGUUGUCGUCAGCUCGUGUCGUGAGAUGUUGGGUUAAGUCCCGCAACGAGCGCAACCCUUAAGCUUAGUUGCCAUCAUUAAGUUGGGCACUCUAAGUUGACUGCCGGUGACAAACCGGAGGAAGGUGGGGAUGACGUCAAAUCAUCAUGCCCCUUAUGAUUUGGGCUACACACGUGCUACAAUGGACAAUACAAAGGGCAGCGAAACCGUGAGGUCAAGCAAAUCCCAUAAAGUUGUUCUCAGUUCGGAUUGUAGUCUGCAACUCGACUACAUGAAGCUGGAAUCGCUAGUAAUCGUAGAUCAGCAUGCUACGGUGAAUACGUUCCCGGGUCU
rnacentral:rRNA from 1 species